rnacentral:rRNA from 1 species
GAUGAACGCUGGCGGCGUGCUUAACACAUGCAAGUCGAACGAUGAAGCCCAGCUUGCUGGGUGGGUUAGUGGCGAACGGGUGAGUAACACGUGAGUAACCUGCCCUUAACUCUGGGAUAAGCCUGGGAAACUGGGUCUAAUACCGGAUAGGAGCGUCCACCGCAUGGUGGGUGUUUGAAAGAUUUAUCGGUUUUGGAUGGACUCGCGGCCUAUCAGCUUGUUGGUGGGGUAAUGGCUCACCAAGGCGACGACGGGGAGCCGGCCUGAGAGGGUGACCGGCCACACUGGGACUGAGACACGGCCCAGACUCCUACGGGAGGCAGCAGUGGGGAAUAUUGCACAAUGGGCGCAAGCCUGAUGCAGCGACGCCGCGUGAGGGAUGACGGCCUUCGGGUUGUAAACCUCUUUCAGUAGGGAAGAAGCGAAAGUGACGGUACCUGCAGAAGAAGCACCGGCUAACUACGUG